AAGAGACGUUGCCCUUCGGGGUAUACCUCCCACCCUCUGUUUAUUAUACCUUUGUUGCUUUGGCGGGCCCGUCCUCGGACCACCGGCUUCUGCUGGUCAGUGCCCGCCAGAGGACCUAAAGCUCUGUUUGUUAAUAUUGUCUGAGUACUAUAUAAUAGUUA
rnacentral:misc_RNA from 1 species